rnacentral:rRNA from 1 species
CCAAGGCUAAAUACUCCUGACUGACCGAUAGUGAACCAGUACCGUGAGGGAAAGGCGAAAAGAACCCCGGCGAGGGGAGUGAAAAAGAACCUGAAACCGUGUACGUACAAGCAGUGGGAGCCUCUUAAUGGGGUGACUGCGUACCUUUUGUAUAAUGGGUCAGCGACUUAUAUUCUGUAGCAAGGUUAACCGAAUAGGGGAGCCGAAGGGAAACCGAGUCUUAACUGGGCGUUAAGUUGCAGGGUAUAGACCCGAAACCCGGUGAUCUAGCCAUGGGCAGGUUGAAGGUUGGGUAACACUAACUGGAGGACCGAACCGACUAAUGUUGAAAAAUUAGCGGAUGACUUGUGGCUGGGGGUGAAAGGCCAAUCAAACCGGGAGAUAGCUGGUUCUCCCCGAAAGCUAUUUAGGUAGCGCCUCGUGAAUUCAUCUCCGGGGGUAGAGCACUGUUUCGGCAAGGGGGUCAUCCCGACUUACCAACCCGAUGCAAACUGCGAAUACCGGAGAAUGUUAUCACGGGAGACACACGGCGGGUGCUAACGUCCGUCGUGAAGAGGGAAACAACCCAGACCGCCAGCUAAGGUCCCAAAGUCAUGGUUAAGUGGGAAACGAUGUGGGAAGGCCCAGACAGCCAGGAUGUUGGCUUAGAAGCAGCCAUCAUUUAAAGAAAGCGUAAUAGCUCACUGGUCGAGUCGGCCUGCGCGGAAGAUGUAACGGGGCUAAACCAUGCACCGAAGCUGCGGCAGCGACACUAUGUGUUGUUGGGUAGGGGAGCGUUCUGUAAGCCUGUGAAGGUGGCCUGUGAGGGUUGCUGGAGGUAUCAGAAGUGCGAAUGCUGACAUAAGUAACGAUAAAGCGGGUGAAAAGCCCGCUCGCCGGAAGACCAAGGGUUCCUGUCCAACGUUAAUCGGGGCAGGGUGAGUCGACCCCUAAGGCGAGGCCGAAAGGCGUAGUCGAUGGGAAACAGGUUAAUAUUCCUGUACUUGGUGUUACUGCGAAGGGGGGACGGAGAAGGCUAUGUUGGCCGGGCGACGGUUGUCCCGGUUUAAGCGUGUAGGCUGGUUUUCCAGGCAAAUCCGGAAAACCAAGGCUGAGGCGUGAUGA